rnacentral:rRNA from 1 species
GAUGAACGCUAGCUACAGGCUUAACACAUGCAAGUCGAGGGGUAACGAGAGGAAAGCUUGCUUUCCUUGUCGACGACCGGCGCACGGGUGAGUAACGCGUAUCCAACCUGCCCCCAACUAAGGAAUAACCUUGCGAAAGUAAGACUAAUACCUUAUAAUUUCCUCAGAUGUCAUCUGACGAGGAAUAAAGAUUUAUCGGUUGUGGAUGGGGAUGCGUCUGAUUAGCUUGUUGGCGGGGUAACGGCCCACCAAGGCAACGAUCAGUAGGGGUUCUGGAAGGAAGGUCUCCAACAUUGGAACUGAGAAACGGUCCAAACUCCUACGGGAGGCAGCAGUGAGGAAUAUUGGUCAAUGGGCGAAAGCCUGAACCAGCCAAGUAGCGUGCAGGAUGACGGCCCUAUGGGUUGUAAACUGCUUUUAUACAGGAAUAAAGUUAGCCACGUGUGGUUAUUUGUAGGUACUGUAUGAAUAAGGACCGGCUAAUUCCGUGCCAGCCGCCGCAGUAA